rnacentral:rRNA from 1 species
UACGUAGGGGGCUAGCGUUGUCCGGAAUCAUUGGGCGUAAAGCGCGCGUAGGCGGCCCGGUAAGUCCGUUGUGAAAGUCAAAGGCUCAACCUUUGAACGCCGAUGGAUACUGCCGGGCUAGAGUCCGGAAGAGGCGAGUGGAAUUCCUGGUGCAGCGGUGGAAUGCGCAGAUAUCAGGAGGAACACCAAUAGCGAAGGCAGCUCGCUGGGACGGUACUGACGCUGAGGCGCGAAAGCGUGGGGAGCGAACAGG